rnacentral:rRNA from 1 species
CUGCCAGUAGUCAUAUGCUUGUCUCAAAGAUUAAGCCAUGCAUGUCUCAGUACAAGCCAAAUAAGGUGAAACCGCGAAAGGCUCAUUAAAUCAGUUAUGGUUCCUUAGAUCGUACCCACAAUUACUUGGAUAACUGUGGUAAUUCUAGAGCUAAUACAUGCAAACAGAGCUCCGACCGGAGACGGAAGGAGUGCUUUUAUUAGAUCAAAACCAAUCGGUGGCGAGUUCGCUCGUCAUCGUACAACUUGGUGACUCUGAAUAACUUUACGCUGAUCGCACGGUCUCGCACCGGCGACGCAUCUUUCAAAUGUCUGCCUUAUCAACUGUCGAUGGUAGGUUCUGCGCCUACCAUGGUUGUAACGGGUAACGGGGAAUCAGGGUUCGAUUCCGGAGAGGGAGCCUGAAAACGGCUACCACAUCCAAGGAAGGCAGCAGGCGCGCAAAUUACCCACUCCCGGCACGGGGAGGUAGUGACGAAAAAUAACGAUACGGGACUCAUCCGAGGCCCCGUAAUCGGAAUGAGUACACUCUAAACCCUUUAACGAGGAUCAAUUGGAGGGCAAGUCUGGUGCCAGCAGCCGCGGUAAUUCCAGCUCCAAUAGCGUAUAUUAAAGU